rnacentral:ncRNA from 1 species
AGCGAUCACUCCACAUUAUGAACGUUCGUACAUAAAAGAAGGAGGAUUAUUACCGUUAGCUUGCGGUGCGGCAGCGUGGAGACCUGUCGUAAUGCGGUGCAUUUCAACACCGGUCAUCGGAAAACCGUUUUCCCGUUAUCGGAUGAAAAUGCCGCGAGGCGGUUUUGGAGGAGUCCUGACCGUCAGAGCACGAUUAAAUGUC